GAUGAACGCUGGCGGCGUGCCUAAUACAUGCAAGUCGAGCGAACAGACGAGGAGCUUGCUCCUCUGACGUUAGCGGCGGACGGGUGAGUAACACGUGGAUAACCUACCUAUAAGACUGGGAUAACUUCGGGAAACCGGAGCUAAUACCGGAUAAUAUAUUGAACCGCAUGGUUCAAUAGUGAAAGACGGUUUUGCUGUCACUUAUAGAUGGAUCCGCGCCGCAUUAGCUAGUUGGUAAGGUAACGGCUUACCAAGGCAACGAUGCGUAGCCGACCUGAGAGGGUGAUCGGCACCACUGGAACUGAGAAACGGUCCAGACUCCAACGGGAGGCAGCAGUAGGGAAUCUUCCGCAAUGGGCGAAAGCCUGACGGAGCAACGCCGCGUGAGUGAUGAAGGUCUUCGGAUCGUAAAACUCUGUUAUUAGGGAAGAACAAAUGUGUAAGUAACUAUGCACGUCUUGACGGUACCUAAGCAGAAAGCCACGGCUAACUACGU
rnacentral:rRNA from 1 species